rnacentral:rRNA from 1 species
UAAUACAGAGGGGGCAAGCGUUAUUCGGAAUUAUUGGGCGUAAAGGGCGCGUAGGCGGCUUCGCAAGUGGUUGGUGAAAUCCCUCGGCUUAACUGAGGAACUGCCCUCCAAACUGCGUUGCUUGAGUCCGGGAGAGGUGAGUGGAAUUCCCAGUGUAGCGGUGAAAUGCGUAGAUAUUGGGAGGAACACCAGUGGCGAAGGCGGCUCACUGGACCGGAACUGACGCUGAGGCGCGAAAGCGUGGGGAGCAAACG